CCACCCAGGCGCCUCGGCCACCCCGGCAUCUCCGGCGCCCCAGGCCACCCCAGCGCCCCCGACCUUGGCCACCCGGUUGCAGCCGCCCUUCUCCCUCUGCGCCCCAGGUUGAGGUCGAUCCGUGGCGAGAUGGUGUCAGGGAAACUGGUCACUUUGUAUUCCUGUACCAAGUUUCCUGCGGUGCGUUGAAGUGAAGACUUUGGGAUUCUCGCUCAUCUGUGAAAUGUGACCAACAGAGGACGCCAGUGGUCCAGGAUUGAAUUUGGAAUUACACUUUCAAGGCUCUUAAAAAGAGCGUGUGGAUCAGCGGUGGGAAGCGGCGAGACCACGUAGAAAACGGGCGGAGAUUCUUAACCACUGCACCACCGGGGGGGAAGCCCCUACCACCAUCAUCAUCUAAGUAGCGGACAAGGGAAGCCCAGGGAGAAUGUCUAAAGUCACAGACCUCGCCGUGCAGUUGGAGAAAAGGGUCUCACAGGCUGUCUGGAGAGACUGAUGGGGAUCAGGCAGUGGUGUGCAGUGUGACCAUGAGAAACACAGAAGGGUUGACCAAGUGUGUCUGUGACCCAGGGGAGGGGGCACAGACUCUCCUAUGUGGUCGAAAGGAGCUUCA